UUAAAACAGAAAUUUAGGGGCAAAUCUGAAAUAAAUAAAAGGAUAUGAACCACAUUGAACGCGUGAAUAACAGGGAAGGUCCGAAAGGGAAAUUAAUCUCUGCUUUCCAAAACGCUGCGUUCCAUCGUGGAUUGAAAUGAAACCAGCAGAAAGUUAUAUGGCCAUCAUUAAAAUAACAAAAGGACUAGAUUGGACCCCGGCACAAAAGCAGAAGGACUUAGCGCGAAAAUAUUCCUUCCCGUACCAAAAAGUGUAGAUCUAGCCGCAUCUGGAUCGGGUCAUCGGGUAUGGCUCAACACGGUGCCGUUUUGAAGCCAUUGAAAUGGGCUUCAAACGGCGCCGUUUUAUGCUCAUUAUAAAACAACAAAUAUAUAUAUAUAUUUAAAAACAUUCUGCCAUUAAAAACAAAAACAAAAAACAAAACAACCCCACUCCUUUGCUAAGGUUUUUGAACCCCGCCUUAACCAGCGCCAUUUCAACACGCCUCAGCUGCAGUUCCACCGUGAAUGGUGGUCGGAGACGCUCCACAUUAGGCUUUUAGCCUCUUUUGAGCGGAUCCGAAGGCAAAGGUGUGGAGGUACGGCGCGCUGGGCUGCUGUUGGGGCGUGCGGUGGCUGAGGCUCGGUUGCUGCCUCGGGUUUCUGUUAGUAUUGGGUUACUGGGCCUCUAUCGAUUAGGUUAGGGGUUUAGGUUUAAUUGGGCUGGGGUAUUAAUUUUUGUAUUGGGUCGAGUUAGUGGGUUUUGGGUUUAUUAUUUUGGCUUUAAAUUUUGGCUGUAAUCUGAGCUGGACAUUCAGUUUGGUUUUUAUAUUUAUUAAUUGAGCCCGGGGCAAAAUUAGGUAUUACAAUUCCGAUAACUUCAGCAGAAAAAGAGACAUUUACUUAUUACAAA